CCGACCUCCUCCUCUAAGGAACCUCGGCACGACUGUGAGCGUCAGCAAUGCCCCCCACAUCGACUACACCCUCGGAGCAGCCAUCCGCUUCGGGGACCUCGAUUUUGAUAUCAACCAGGAGGGCAAUACAAUUGGAGUAGUGCCCGCCCGACCUCCUCUGCUCGAGAACCCCUACACGGUCUCUAAGGCCUUAGGUGGCCUCAGCCUCGCCUCGCUCGAGCGAUGUGAGAGGCGCAAGCCAGCCCCGCCUUCCGAGGCCGACGAAAUAAGACAAAAGAUUGUGAUCCAUAUGAGACCAAACCAAUCAUAUGACGAUCUGUCGGCUUUCUUCACAUCC
rnacentral:misc_RNA from 1 species